rnacentral:tRNA from 1 species
AUCUUUUUAGUAUAAAAAUAAAUAUAAUUGAUUUCCAAUCAAAAGAUCUUUAAAUAAGAAAAGAUA